CAGCUCUCUGCUAUGGCCUGAGAAAGCAGUAGAAGUUGACCCAAGUCCUUGGGCCCCUGCACCUGCAUGGGAGACCUGGAAGAGGCUCCUGGUUCCUGGCUUCCAACCGGCACAGUUCCAGCUGUUGCAGCCAAUUGGGGAGUGAACCAGUAACAUUGGCAUUUGUCCACUGAGAAAUCGUUUCUUCUUCCCCUUCAACCUGGGGAGCCCUGAGACUACGGUGGGAGCGACUCUGUGUGGUUUAGGAGGCUCCCUGCUAAUGCACCUGAGUAAGGAGAUUGGGCCCCUGCCACCCAUGUGGGAGACCUGGAUGGAGUGCCAGACUCCUGGCUUCAGUCUGGCCCAGCCCUGGCUGUUGUGGC